rnacentral:rRNA from 1 species
GAUGAACGCUAGCGGGAGGCUUAACACAUGCAAGUCCAGGGGUAAAUGGCAGCAAUGCUAUGAGACCGGCGAACGGGUGCGUAACGCGUAUGCAACUUACCUUAUGCAGGGGGAUAGCCCGUGGAAACGCGGAUUAAUAUCCCAUAGAUCAGUGGUAUCGCAUGGUACAGCUGGUAAAGCUCAGGUGGCAUAAGAUGGGCAUGCGUCUGAUUAGCUGGUUGGUAGGGUAACGGCCUACCAAGGCGACGAUCAGUAGGGGUUCUGAGAGGAUUAACCCCCACACUGGUACUGAGACACGGACCAGACUCCUACGGGAGGCAGCAGUGAGGAAUAUUGGUCAAUGGGCGGAAGCCUGAACCAGCCAUCCCGCGUGAAGGAAGAAGGCCUUAUGGGUUGUAAACUUCUUUUCUGUUUGAAGAAUAAGCUUGUCGUGACAAGUGAUGCCGGUAGGACAGGAAUAAGCAUCGGCUAACUCCGUGCCAGCAGCCGCGGAAAUACGGAGGAUGCAAGCGUUAUCCGGAUUUAUUGGGUUUAAAGGGUGCGCAGGUGGUUUAAUAAGUCAGUGGUGAAAGUCUGCCGCUUAACGGUAGGAUUGCCAUUGAUACUGUUGGACUUGAAUAUGGAUGAGUAGCGGAAUGU